GACGAACGCUGGCGGCGUGCCUAAUACAUGCAAGUCGAGCGGAGUUAAUCGGGAGCUUGCUCCUGAUUAACUUAGCGGCGGACGGGUGAGUAACACGUAGGCAACCUGCCCGUAAGACUGGGAUAACUACCGGAAACGGUAGCUAAUACCGGAUACGCAAGUUCCUCGCAUGGGGAGCUUGGGAAAGGCGGAGCAAUCUGUCACUUACGGAUGGGCCUGCGGCGCAUUAGCUAGUUGGUGGGGUAACGGCUCACCAAGGCGACGAUGCGUAGCCGACCUGAGAGGGUGAACGGCCACACUGGGACUGAGACACGGCCCAGACUCCUACGGGAGGCAGCAGUAGGGAAUCUUCCGCAAUGGACGAAAGUCUGACGGAGCAACGCCGCGUGAGUGAUGAAGGUUUUCGGAUCGUAAAGCUCUGUUGCCAGGGAAGAACGUCUUCUAGAGUAACUGCUAGGAGAGUGACGGUACCUGAGAAGAAAGCCCCGGCUAACUACGUG
rnacentral:rRNA from 1 species